rnacentral:rRNA from 1 species
GCCUACGGGGGGCAGCAGUAGGGAAUAUUGGGCAAUGGAUGCAAGUCUGACCCAGCCAUGCCGCGUGCAGGAAGAAGGUCCUCUGGAUUGUAAACUGCUUUUAUCGGGGAAGAAUAGGUCUCUUGCGAGGGAUUGUGACGGUACCCGAUGAAUAAGCCACGGCUAACUACGUGCCAGCAGCCGCGGUAAUACGUAGGUGGCAAGCGUUGUCCGGAUUUAUUGGGUUUAAAGGGUGCGUAGGUGGUUUUAUAAGUCAGUGGUGAAAGCUGGUUGCUCAACAAUCAAGUUGCCAUUGAUACUGUUAGACUUGAGAGAAGUGGAGGUUCAUGGAAUGGAUGGUGUAGCGGUGAAAUGCAUAGAUAUCAUCCAGAACGUCGAUUGCGAAGGCAGUGGGCUGUACUUUUUCUGACACUGAGGCACGAAAGCGUGGGGAUCAAACAGGAUUAGAAACCCGAGUAGUCCU